rnacentral:rRNA from 1 species
UACGUAGGGGGCUAGCGUUGUCCGGAAUCAUUGGGCGUAAAGAGCGUGUAGGCGGCCCGGUAAGUCCGCUGUAAAAGUCAAAGGCUCAACCUUUGAAUGUCAGUGGAUACUGUCGGGCUAGAGUCCGGAAGAGGCGAGUGGAACUCCUGGUGUAGCGGUGGAAUGCGCAGAUAUCAGGAGGAACACCGAUGGCGAAGGCAGAUCUCUGGGCCGUAACUGACGCUGAGGAGCGAAAGCGUGGGGAGCGAACAGG